UACGGAGGGUGCAAGCGUUGUUCGGAAUCACUGGGCGUAAAGGGCGUGUAGGCGGCUUGUUAAGUCUGAUGUGAAAUCCCCUCGCUCAACGAGGGAACUGCGUCGGAAACUGGCAAGCUCGAGUACCGGAGAGGAAGGUAGAAUUCCCGGUGUAGUGGUGAAAUGCGUAGAUAUCGGGAGGAAUACCAGUGGCGAAGGCGGCCUUCUGGGCCGUUCCUGACGCUCAGACGCGAAAGCUAGGGGAGCAAACGGG
rnacentral:rRNA from 1 species